GCAAUAUCAAUUAAAAUCUAGGUAGUAUAAGUCGUCUGAUAUUGCUUAAUGCUGAAGAUUAGUUUUAACUACUUUAUAGAUAAACAAACUGUUUAUUAUAUAUAAACUGUCAAGCCUUACAAACAAACUUUCAAAAAAACUAUCAAGCCUUACAAACAAACUUUCAAACAAACUGUCAAGCCUUACAAACAAACUUUCAGACCAACUGUCAAGCCUUACAAACAAAUAAACAAACUGUCUUGCAAACAAACCAAAAAAAGUAAAUCACACUUACAGAUGACAAAUACAGAAGCUUGUAAAGAUCUUCCACUCUGAUGGACAAUAACUUGGAAGUCUUGUUAGAUUAUAAUCGCACAUCAAAGAGAGAGAGAGAGCGAGAGAGAGAGAGAGAGAGGGUAAGGAGGCUCUAAUGCCAAGAGUAAGAAAUCUU
rnacentral:lncRNA from 1 species